rnacentral:lncRNA from 1 species
GUAUAUAGAUAUAGGAAGAUGUGGUGUGAGUGCCAAUGAGACAACUCUCCAUACAAAUAACAAUUUAAAAAGUAAACCAUUAUAGGUUAAAGUACGGCCUUCAACACGGAGCCUUAGCUCACACCGAACAACAAGCUAUAAAGGGCCCCAAAAUUACUAGUGUAAAACCAUUCAAACGGGAAAACCAACGGUCUAAUCUAUAUAAACAAAACGAGAAACGAGAAACACGUAUAUAUUACAUAAACAAACGACAACUACUGUACAUCAGAUUCCUGACUUAGGACAGGUGCAAACAUUUGCAGC